rnacentral:rRNA from 1 species
UUUCCUACGGGAGGCAGCAGUGGGGAAUAUUGCACAAUGGGGGGAACCCUGAUGCAGCAACGCCGCGUGGGUGAAGAAGUACUUCGGUAUGUAAAGCCCUGUCAGCAGGGAAGAAAAUGACGGUACCUGACCAAGAAGCCCCGGCUAACUACGUGCCAGCAGCCGCGGUAAUACGUAGGGGGCAAGCGUUAUCCGGAUUUACUGGGUGUAAAGGGAGCGUAGACGGCAAGGCAAGUCUGGAGUGAAAGCCCGUGGCUCAACCACGGGACUGCUUUGGAAACUGUGUUGCUGGAGUGCAGGAGGGG